rnacentral:misc_RNA from 1 species
UCUUUCCCAGGAUAYUCCGAGAAACGACCUCAAACGCCUUUGGCAUUUGGACCACGGUGUCGGGCUCGGAAAGAGCUUUCCGAAAAGUACUCACGGGCCCCGUGAGUCCAUCGGGAUCGAAAGUUAGGCACGUAAACGCGGAGACGCGCGGAUUACUGAUAAAUUCUAUUUCUCGUAUUUCGUCGCAUGUAAGUAGUAUUCCAUCAAUUGCUCGGAAAUUGGGCGACGGGUCCUUAAAAUCCGGAAGUUUGAAAGCUCUGGACUUUUCUCGAGAAUAGAAAGUGAUUCGUUUUAAGUAAAUUUUCAAAUGCGGCCAC